rnacentral:rRNA from 1 species
CAAUAGCGUAUAUUAAAGUUGUUGCAGUUAAAAAGCUCGUAGUUGGAUUUGUGGCGUACGGUGUGUUCCGGGCACUUGUUGUCUGAGUAACCUGCUGUUGCCAUCCUUGGGUGGAACCUGUGUGGCACUAGGUUGUCGUGCAGGGGAUGCCCAUCAUUUACUGUGAAAAAAUUAGAGUGUUCAAAGCAGGCUUAUGCCGUUGAAUAUAUUAGCAUGGAAUAAUGAGAUAGGACUUUUUUGCUAUUUUGUUGGUUUGCGCAAGAAGGUAAUGAUUAAUAGGGACAGUUGGGGGUAUUCGUAUUCCAUUGUCAGAGGUGAAAUUCUUGGAUUUUUGGAAGACGAACUACUGCGAAAGCAUUUACCAAGGAUGUUUUCAUUAA